AGGCCAGACUCCUACGGGAGGCAGCAGUGAGGAAUAUUGGUCAAUGGGCGGGAGCCUGAACCAGCCAAGUCGCGUGAGGGAAGACGGUCCUAUGGAUUGUAAACCUCUUUAGGCGGGGAGCAAUGCCGGGCACGCGUGCCCGGAGGGAGAGUACCCGCAGAAUAAGCAUCGGCUAACUCCGUGCCAGCAGCCGCGGUAAUACGGAGGAUGCGAGCGUUAUCCGGAUUUACUGGGUGUAAAGGGAGCGCAGGCGGCACGGCAAGCCUGAUGUGAAAGCCCGCGGCCCAACCGCGGGACUGCAUUGGGAACUACCGGGCUGGAGUGCCGGAGAGGUAGGCGGAAUUCCUAGUGUAGCGGUGAAAUGCGUAGAUAUUAGGAGGAACACCAGUGGCGAAGGCGGCCUACUGGACGGUGACUGACGCUGAGGCUCGAAAGCGUGGGGAGCAAACAGGAUUAGAUACCCGUGUAUUA
rnacentral:rRNA from 1 species